rnacentral:rRNA from 1 species
GGAGGAUGCGAGCGUUAUCCGGAUNUAUUGGGUNUAAAGGGUGCGUAGGCGGCACGCCAAGUCAGCGGUGAAAUNUCCGGGCUCAACCCGGACUGUGCCGUUGAAACUGGCGAGCUAGAGUGCACAAGAGGCAGGCGGAAUUCGUGGUGUAGCGGUGAAAUGCUUAGAUAUCACGAAGAACUCCGAUUGCGGAGGCAGCCUGCUAAGCUGCAACUGACAUUGAGGCUCGAAAGUGUGGGUAUCAAACAGGAUUAGAUACCCUGGUAGUCCACACGGUAAACGAUGAAUACUCGCUGUUUGCGAUAUACGGCAAGCGGCCAAGCGAAAGCGUUAAGUAUUCCACCUGGGGAGU